rnacentral:rRNA from 1 species
UGGGGAAUAUUGGACAAUGGGCGCAAGCCUGAUCCAGCCACGCCGCGUGAGUGAUGAAGGCCUUCGGGUCGUAAAGCUCUGUGGGGAGGGACGAACCGCCGCUGGUUAAUACCCAGCGGCAUGACGGUACCUCCUUAGCAAGCACCGGCUAACUUCGUGCCAGCAGCCGCGGUAAUACGAAGGGUGCAAACGUUGCUCGGAAUCAUUGGGCGUAAAGCGCACGUAGGCGGCUUUGCAAGUCGGACGUGAAAUCCCUCAGCUCAACUGAGGACGUGCAUCCGAAACUGCAAGGCUUGAGUACUGAAGAGGAUCGCGGAAUUCCCGGUGUAGAGGUGAAAUUCGUAGAUAUCGGGAGGAACACCAGUGGCGAAGGCGGCGAUCUGGGCAGAUACUGACGCUGAGGUGCGAAAGCGUGGGGAGCAAACAGG